rnacentral:rRNA from 1 species
GAUGAACGCUGGCGGCGUGCCUAAUACAUGCAAGUCGAGCGAACGGACGAGAAGCUUGCUUCUCUGAUGUUAGCGGCGGACGGGUGAGUAACACGUGGAUAACCUACCUAUAAGACUGGGAUAACUUCGGGAAACCGGAGCUAAUACCGGAUAAUAUUUUGAACCGCAUGGUUCAAAAGUGAAAGACGGUCUUGCUGUCACUUAUAGAUGGAUCCGCGCUGCAUUAGCUAGUUGGUAAGGUAACGGCUUACCAAGGCAACGAUGCAUAGCCGACCUGAGAGGGUGAACGGGCACACUGGAACUGAGACACGGUCCAGACUCCUACGGGAGGCAGCAGUAGGGAAACUUCCGCAAUGGGCGAAAGCCUGACGGAGCAACGCCGCGUGAGUGAUGAAGGUCUUCGGAUCGUAAAACUCUGUUAUUAGGGAAGAACAUAUGUGUAAGUAACUGUGCACAUCUUGACGGUACCUAAUCAGAAAGCCACGGCUAACUACGUG